rnacentral:rRNA from 1 species
AGAGUUUGAUCCUGGCUCAGGAAGAACCCUUUCGAGAGGCUUAACACAUGCAAGUCGAGGGGCAGCGCAAAGAUUAGCUUGCUAAUUUUGGCGGCGACCGGCGGAUGGGUGAGUAACACGUAUGCAACCUACCUUUAACACGGGCAUAACCCGGAGAAAUCCGGACUAAUUCCCGAUAAUACGGGGGCUCCGCAUGGAGAUAUUUGUUAAAGAUUUAUUGGUUAAAGAUGGGCAUGCUCUCCAUUAGUUAGUUGGUGAGGUAACGGCUCACCAAGGCAUCGAUGGAUAGGGGUUCUGAGAGGAAGGCCCCCCACAUUGGAACUGCGACACGGUCCAAACUCCUACGGGAGGCAGCAGUGAGGAAUAUUGGUCAAUGGCCGGAAGGCUGAACCAGCCAAGUAGCGUGCAGGAUGACUGCCUUAUGGGUUGUAAACUGCUUUUUUACGGGAAUAAUUAUGAUCACGUGUGAUUAUUUGCAUGUACCGUAAGAAUAAGGAUCGGCUAACUCCGUGCCAGCAGCCGCGGUAAUACGGAGGAUCCUAGUGUUAUCCGGAUUUAUUGGGUUUAAAGGGAGCGUAGGCGGGAGGUCAAGUCAGCUGUGAAAUGUAUCUGCUUAACGGGUACACUGCAGUUGAAACUGGUUUUCUUGAGUGCGUAAGAGGCAGGCGGAAUUCGUUGUGUAGCGGUGAAAUGCUUAGAUAUGACGAGGAACUCCUAUUGCGAAGGCAGCUUGCUGGGUCGUUACUGACGCUGAUGCUCGAAGGUGCGGGGAUCAAACAGGAUUAGAUACCCUGGUAGUCCGCACAGUAAACUAUGGAUACUCUCUGCCGGCGACACAUUGUCGGUGGCUAAGCGAAAGCGUUAAGUAUCCCACCUGGGGAGUACGUUCGCAAGAAUGAAACUCAAAGGAAUUGACGGGGGCCCGCACAAGCGGAGGAACAUGUGGUUUAAUUCGAUGAUACGCGAGGAACCUUACCCGGGUUUGAAUUGCUGAUGGCGAUAAUUGGAGACAGUUAUUUCCCUUCGGGGCGUCAGUGAAGGUGCUGCAUGGUUGUCGUCAGCUCGUGCCGUGAGGUGUCGGCUUAAGUGCCAUAACGAGCGCAACCCUUGCCGUUAGUUGCCAUCGGGUCAUGCCGGGCACUCUAUUGGGACUGCCAUCGUAAGAUGUGAGGAAGGUGGGGAUGACGUCAAAUCAGCACAGCCCUUAUGUCCGGGGCGACACACGUGUUACAAUGGGGGGUACAGUGGGAAGCUACCUGGCGACAGGUUGCGGAUCCCCAAAUCCUUUCUCAGUUCGGAUCGGAGUCUGUAACUCGACUCCGUGAAGUUGGAUUCGCUAGUAAUCGCGCAUCAGCCAUGGCGCGGUGAAUACGUUCCCGGGCCUUGCACACACCGCCCGUCAAG